UCCUGACUGUCAAAGCCGUUUACAGGAC
rnacentral:piRNA from 1 species